ACAAAACUUCUCUUGCCAGUUGGCACUGGGAGAGAUACAUGGACUGCAGCUACUGCUCAUCUGCUCCAGAUAAUGCUUCAAGAUAAUUAAGCUACACAAAGUUUCUCAUCUUCAAAGUAAACAGAAAGGACACAAAAGUACCAGUUAUGUCCGACUACCAGACAGGUCAAACACUGAGAUGACCCUCUGUGUCAGAGAUUACACUCAUCAUCAGCUAACAUGCUUUACUUGAUUAUUAUCGGAGUUGGUCCUAAAGGAGGUUGACGAACCCUUAGAAUACGUGUUGAAGAGUCUGUAUUGAUGUCGUGAGACUGACCAAGUCUUGAUAAUAUGGUUACGGUUGUUGUUAUAAUAAAGCUCGUCUGGCCAUAUUUGGCACUGA